rnacentral:misc_RNA from 1 species
GAUGAAGAACGUAGCAAAAUGCGAUAAGUAAUGUGAAUUGCAGAAUUCAGUGAAUCAUCGAAUCUUUGAACGCACAUUGCGCCCGCCAGUACUCUGGCGGGCAUGCCUGUCCGAGCGUCAUUUCAACCCUCAGGGCCCUCCAGCAGGGCGCUGGUGUUGGGGAUCGGCAGUCCCAGCGGCUGCCGUCCCUGAAAUGUAGUGGCGGUCCCACCGUGACCUCCCCUGUGCAGUACAUCGCUCGCAGAGGGACAGCGGUGCGGCCACGCCGUAAAACGCCCAACUCUUCAAGGUUGACCUCGGAUCAGGUAGGAUUACCCGCUGAACUUAAGCAUAUCAAUAAGCGGAGGA